rnacentral:rRNA from 1 species
AACGUAGGUUCCGAGCGUUAUCCGGAUUUACUGGGCGUAAAGCGCGUUCAGGCGGUUUGGCAAGUCGGGCAUGAAAUCUCUCGGCUCAACCGGGAGAGGUUGUCCGAUACUGCUGGACUUGAGGGCAGUAGAGGGUGGUGGAAUUCCGGGUGUAGUGGUGAAAUGCGUAGAUAUCCGGAGGAACACCAGUGGCGAAAGCGGCCACCUGGACUGCACCUGACGCUAACACGCGAAAGCUAGGGGAGCGAACGGG